AGGUGUGCCCAGGUGUGCCCAUGGAGGCUCACACGUGUGCCAGGGGUGUCACAGGUGUGUCCCAGGUACCCCCAGGUGUGCCAGGGAUGUCCCCAAGGGUGUCCCAGGUGUCACAGGGAUGUCCCCAAGGGUGUCCUAGGGAUGUCACAGGUGUGCCCAGGUGUGCCCAUGGAGGCUCACGCGUGUGCCCAGGUGUGCCAGGGGUGUCCCAGGUACCCCCAGGUGUGCCAGGGAUGUCCCCAAGGGUGUCCUAGGGAUGUCACAGGUGUGCCCAUGGAGGCUCACACGUGUGCCAGGUGUGUCCCAGGUGUGCCAGGGAUGUCACAGGGAUGUCCCAGGUGUGCCCAUGGAGGCUCACACAUGUCCCCAGGUGUGCCAGGGGUGUCCCAGGUGUGCCAGGGAUGUCACAGGUGUGCCCAGAUGUGCCCAUAGAGGCUCACGCGUGUGCCCAGGUGUGCCAGGGAUGUCCCCAAGGGUGUCCCAGGUGUGUCCUAGGUGUCCCCAGGUGUGCCCAUGGAGGCUCACACGUGUGCCAGGUGUGUCCCA